rnacentral:rRNA from 1 species
GACGAACGCUGGCGGCGUGCUUAACACAUGCAAGUCGAGCGGUAAGGCCCUUUCGGGGUACGACGAGCGGCGAACGGGUGAGUAACACGUGGGUGACCUGCCCUCCAGCUCUGGGAGUAAGCCUGGGAAACCGGGUACUAAUACCGGAUAUGACUCCAUGACGCAUGUUGUGGGGUGGAAAGCCUUGUGCGGCUGAGGAUGGGCCCGCGGCCUAUCAGCUUGUUGGUGGGGUGAUGGCCUACCAAGGCGACGACGGGUAGCCGACCUGAGAGGGCGACCGGCCACACUGGGACUGAGACACGGCCCAGACUCCUACGGGAGGCAGCAGUGGGGAAUCUUGCGCAAUGGGCGAAAGCCUGACGCAGCGACGCCGCGUGAGGGAUGACGGCCUGGUUGUAACC